CAAACACACGGCGUUAAAGUAACGUCGGGUUAACGUUAGUUUUUGAUCACGACGUCGGCGACCAAAAUACGACGUAAAGCUGACGUCCAAAAACCGAUGUCUAUUAGACGUUUCUUUUUGACGUCGUACUAAUGUCAGGUUCUGGUCGGUGUCCUGACGGUAGGUAAAAAAUUAAUAAAAAAUAAUCCUUAUCCGCUGUUGUAAUCAUUUAAACUUUUUUUUCAAAUGUUAUUUGGCUUACAAAUUAAGUGUAUCAAGUGCCUUUCGAAGACCAAGUGUUCGGCGCUGCAACCUAAUAAACAUAUAGGUGGCGCUGUAUAUAAGCAAGUUAAAUUACAUGUGUUAUUGUUAUGAAAUCUAUUUAUAGCCACAGAUCUGUUUACGAGUUCCAAUCAUUUAACGUUAUAAUAUUAUCAUUUGUGGUACAUUAUAUGUUUUUAAUAGUGAUUUAACAUUUAAUCAUAGUGACAGAAAAAGGAAAUAUAACAUUAUUAUAAUUCGAAUAUACAGCCACGUGGAGGAAAAAUUCAAAUUCGUAAGCGUUUCGUACGUUUUGGCGGAGGUCAGGAAUCGGGAUGUAUUGAUAAAGUGAAUAUUCUAGAUUUUCUUGGAGAAAAAGGUAGUUCAAGUGUUGGACAUGCUCUUAAAGGUCGGAGGGACAGAAAUACGUGACAAUGUAAAAAGAAACAUGGGAAAUGAAAAUGAUAUAACAAACGCCAUUGGACCGUAACAUAUCCUCCAGACAGACGAGGGGUGGUGAGAGAAGGUCAUACAUGAAUAUCUGAAAGCAUCACACCUCCAAAUUUGUGCUAAUUCUCAUGGAUAUUUAAAAGUAUAACUUUGUGAAGUAACUAAAAGGAAGUAAUUUAUACGUUAGUGUCUGUAAGUGACAGUUAUCAAAAGGAGGUAAAAAUAUGCCAAAAUAGAACUAAAUGUUUUAGUUAUGCUGUAGAAAUAGAGUUAAAAUACUGCAAAUCUAAAAUCUGUCAUUAAUUGUUUGAACCAUUAUUAUCCGAAUCGUUUAACAUUUCUUGAAAUUAUAAUAUUUUCAUUUUGUUUAUAAGGCAAACUUUGAAUAUCCUCUAUAUGUUUUAUUUAUUUCAUUGUUUUUGUAAUACUGUUUGUUUUGUUAUAAACUUAUUUUAUGUUUUAUUUUGUUUAAUUUAUGAAAAGUAUUUAGCCUUGCAGAAUUUACUAAAACUGUAUGUAUCAGCUUUAAAUUGCAACUUUUAUUUUAAAUAAAAACAACAUGAAAACAUAUUUUUGCUUUUAGUUUUUUGUUAUACAUUUCAUUGGAGUGAAAGUUACUUAAUAGAAUGAGUUACAUUAAAUUUGAGCCAUAAAAUAUCUAUAACAUGGUAAAACAAAAAGGAUUAGGGAAAUGAUCAGGUUAAGGUCAGAAAUUGGUCGGAUUUAGGGCAGAAAAGGAUUAAGAUUUAGGUCGGAAAAUGGUCAGAUUGAGGUCGGAAAAUGGUCAGAAACUGGUUAGAUUUAGGUCGGAAAAUGGUCAGAUUCAGGUCGGAAAAUGGUCAGAAACUGGUUAGAUAAUGGUCAGAUUUUGGUCAGAUAAUGGUUAGAUUCUGACCUCUACCUGACGUCAGAUUAUUACGUCAAAAAAACUUUCAAAUCCAACCGUUUUCCCGACCGUCAUCCGACGUCAGAACCUGACUUAAAUCUGGCGUCAGCUUGACGUCUUGUGUUUG